rnacentral:piRNA from 1 species
UAAGAAGCUGGUGAUGUCCAGAAUGUC